AGAAGGUUUUCUCUGGCGGAGCCUUGUUGUUAACAACCAUGGAUGGCGAGGAUUUUCCAUCCCCUGUGAACGCGGACGCAGUUAAAAAAUACUUCGUAUAAGAGACCCGCUGGACGAAAAGAAUAAAAUAGUCCAGGAAAAAAUGGGCAUCCCGGCGAACCGAAAAAAAAAAAAAGAGAAAUAGGGUUCGGGCAAAAUUAGGGAUAAAAAGGAAAAAAU
rnacentral:lncRNA from 1 species